rnacentral:misc_RNA from 1 species
AAAGCUUCAGACAUUUCCUGUCGCUUGAAAAAUCCGAAACCCUAAUUCGAAUUCUGUAGGCCGCUGAACCGGAGAAAUCAAAAGGAAUAUUAAUGGAGAACGAGAUUAAUAUUGUAAAUGACGGGGCAUCGGGGGACGAUCAGACCACAGAGGAUUUUUUUGAUGUUGACCAGCGGGAGAACGAUGCAAAGGUCGCGGAGCUGAACCAUAGAAUUGAGGUUUUGGAGCGUGAAAAGAAAAAAUUGGUUGAUGAAAAUGAAGAAAUCAAAGAUAAGAUUAAAAGGUUGUCAGCGGAGAUUGAAGGGUUGAAGAGUGAAGAGGGGAGGCUGAUAGAACAACUGAAAGAAAUGGAGAAACAAGUUGAACGUUCUGAAGAGGGAAAUAAGGUGGUAGAGUCGGUUGCGGCAAGGGCACUGGAGCUUGAGACUGAAGUCUCGAGGCUACAGCAUGAUUUGAUAUCUGCAAUGAAUGGAGCUGAUGAGGCGAAUGCUGAAGUUGCGGAGUUGAGGAAAAAUUUGGGGGAAAAGGGAGUGAAGGUUGCAGCUCUGGAGGAAGAGUUGGAAGCCCUGAAGAAAGCAAAGGCAGAGAGUGAA